AAGUUGGACAUGGUGAGAAUGGACACUGGAACUGCAAUGAGUGGGAGAAGUAGAGACAUCAAACUGUUGCUGCAGAUGUGGGGUGUGCUGGGGGAUUGCUUGCUGCUAUUCUGUGCUAACCUCCCACUUCACCUCCUAGGUGGUGCUUCCCUCAAAGGGCAUGAGAUGAACACAGCGUGAUCAAGGGGCUGGCUGGAGAGGUGAAGGGAGGUGAUCCACAUGGCAGGGAAGGGAACGGAUGGGACUGCAGGAGCCCAGGAGGUUGUUGUCAUGGGAUUUCAAGGCCAGGGAUCCCGUUUGGCUCUGUUAACAUCAGUGGGAAAUGAGGCAUCAUAUUGAAAAGUUAGUUGAGAUGCAGGAUGCUGAUAGAUCCUCGAACGAGACCCAGAGACUCACUAAUGCAGGAAGAUAAAUGUUGUGCUUGAUUACAAUGGAUAUACUGCAGUUAUAAAGGCAUCUCUUAUUAUACUUGCAUAUCUGGAGCAAUAACCACCAUAUGUCAGGUAAGACAAUGAUAAGGUGAGCCAGAUAACCUUCACGUUGUUAAAACUUUCAAAAUCCAAAAAGCUACAAAUGUCUUAAUUAUUAAUUCAGUUUAACUAGAUCUAGUGCUAGUGUCUGGAGGGAACAUCUUUCUGAAGUUAACUCUUUCCUCUGGUCUAGCUGAAAACAGUCUAAGUGGCAGAGUUUAACAUGCUAUAGCCAUUAAAGAAGUAAUAAUGGCAUACAGUUGUUACCCAUCUUGAAUUUCCGUGCAGGGUUACCACAUGAAACUGAGUUCAGAUCUUCCCAUUUGUUCCAAAAAGCUUGAACAAACAGAUCAGGUUUAUAGUUUGCUCUGAACUUAACAAGCCUCCUCGGUGGUGAAGCUCUGUGAGACACAAGGCCCCUCAUUGCAUUGUUGUUGUGUAUUUACCUAUCAAAAGCUUGUUCCCUACAGAAUUGGCAAAAACCUUGAAUCUCCUUCCCGACCCCCACCUUGUGUGUCUGUCAGCUGCAGACCAAGUCCCAGCCAUGACUGCAAGAACAUCCUGAAUCAGUCUCAAUAAUUUGCAUUUCCUUGCCAAAGAUCUUAUCUUCGUGGGGUGCAAAUUGCACCAUCAAGGUUUCUGGUGUUGAAAAAUCUGCACCCUUCUGCUCCCCAGCUCUGCAGUUUCAGGCUACAUUAAUUUAUCCAGAAGAAUUAAUUGGGACAACGAAGCUGUCAAGUGAGAGAGGCCACACAGCAAGACAGCACUGCUCUGAACAUCUGCACAAUCUGUAUCUUCGAUUAGGUACCUCAGCACUUGCAGACUGUUGUUGUUAGAAGCAAAUCUUACUUUUGCUAUUUUCAUAUAAGGCCUCGUGCUGCAAUUCUGCAGAUGUUCGUGCUCUGUAUAUACCCAGAGUGUUUACUAAAAUGACAAAUGCUGAUAGUAAAAAAUACAUUUGCUCCUUCAAACAUCUUCAUAUUUACAUAUAAGAAAAAUCAUAUGCCGGGGUCCAAUGACCUAAUGAGAGACGCAACAUGGACUUGAGCAGGAGGUGGAUGGAGCCCUUCAAAAUCUGCCUCUCUCACACAAAUAGUCCCCUGAUUUAUAUAAUGAAAAGCUUAUUUUGUUUAUAAUGACAGAUGCCACAGGGGGUUGUAUAUUUGGGUAUUAUUUUUUCUCUAGGAGUGUUUAUUAAUAAAUGCUUGAAAGUUU